GAUGAACGCUAGCGGCAGGCUUAACACAUGCAAGUCGAGGGGCAGCAUAAACAUUGCUUGCAAUGUUUGAUGGCGACCGGCGCACGGGUGCGUAACGCGUAUGUAACCUACCUCAAACAGGGGCAUAACACUGAGAAAUUGGUACUAAUUCCCCAUAAUACUUCGGGAGGCAUCUUCUGAAGUUGAAAGUUCCGGCGGUUUGAGAUGGACAUGCGUUGUAUUAGCUAGUUGGUGGGGUAACGGCUCACCAAGGCGACGAUACAUAGGGGGACUGAGAGGUUAACCCCCCACAUUGGUACUGAGACACGGACCAAACUCCUACGGGAGGCAGCAGUGAGGAAUAUUGGUCAAUGGACGCAAGGUCUGAACCAGCCAUGCCGCGUGCAGGAUGACGGCUCUAUGAGUUGU
rnacentral:rRNA from 1 species